rnacentral:piRNA from 1 species
UCCCACGAUGGAGAUGCAUGAGGCCUU